rnacentral:rRNA from 1 species
GGGCGUAAGGGCUCGCAGGCGGUUUCUUAAGUCUGAUGUGAAAGCCCCCGGCUCAACCGGGGAGGGUCAUUGGAAACUGGGAAACUUGAGUGCAGAAGAGGAGAGUGGAAUUCCACGUGUAGCGGUGAAAUGCGUAGAGAUGUGGAGGAACACCAGUGGCGAAGGCGACUCUCUGGUCUGUAACUGACGCUGAGGAGCGAAAGCGUGGGGAGCGAACAGGAUUAGAUACCCUGGUAGUCCACGCCGUAAACGAUGAGUGCUAAGUGUUAGGGGGUUUCCGCCCCUUAGUGCUGCAGCUAACGCAUUAAGCACUCCGCCUGGGGAGUACGGUCGCAAGACUGAAACUCAAAGGAAUUGACGGGGGCCCGCACAAGCGGUGGAGCAUGUGGUUUAAUUCGAAGCAACGCGAAGAACCUUACCAGGUCUUGACAUCCUCUGACAACCCUAGAGAUAGGGCUUUCCCUUCGGGGACAGAGUGACAGGUGGUGCAUGGUUGUCGUCAGCUCGUGUCGUGAGAUGUUGGGUUAAGUCCCGCAACGAGCGCAACCCUUGAUCUUAGUUGCCAGCAUUCAGUUGGGCACUCUAAGGUGACUGCCGGUGACAAACCGGAGGAAGGUGGGGAUGACGUCAAAUCAUCAUGCCCCUUAUGACCUGGGCUACACACGUGCUACA